GCCUCGUUAGCGCAGAAGGCAUCGCGUCAGUCUCAUAAUCUGAAUAUAGAAAUCUGAAGGUCGUGAGUUCGAUCCUCACACCGGGCA
rfam:Nematostella vectensis strain CH2 x CH6 NEMVEscaffold_369_Cont25269, whole genome shotgun sequence.